CUUUCUAGAGAUCCCUUUUCUGUGGAGUCUUUCUUGCUAACCUAGAUCUUUGAAUGCAGGUUACUAGUGGUACAGCAGGAAUGUGAUAACUUCCAUGCUAUGCAUAAAGUUGAAAAGAGAUGCUGAGUGAUUUCCAUAAGCAGGAAGAGGCUCUACCUUGUCUCUUCCCUCCUUACUAGAACCUGGUUUUCUGCUUUGUAUCUCAGCCGUCAAGAGACAUUUUUUUCUUUUCUGGGAGCAGAGUAACCCAAUUUUAGUCAUAAAACUUCACUGUAUACAGCAGGAGCUCUUUUUAAAGAACACUGUAAAUGCAGACCCUGGGGAGGAAGGAAUGACUAAAUGACACAGAAAAUUUGCACUUUACUCAAGGCAGUGGGAGUAGUGUGAGCUCUCUGUCUAUUACAAGGGACCAUGGGAGAGGACUGAGCACAGAAGAGUUUUGGGAUGUCAAGUCUCCAGAUGGUAACAGUCAGAGGUGAGAGGUGUUAAUUAGGCAGCCCUGCCUUGGAGCAAGCCCCAGCUCUCUUUCACUGAUGGUUCACACAGAAUAAUGCAUUAUCCGGUACUGCUCUUUGACUGGCACAAACAAGAUAAAGAAUGGAAUUUUUUACAUCCUUCCCUCCAGAUAACAUAUCAUACUUUGAAUGUAAUGAAAUAUUUGUAUUGUUUUUUUUUUUUUCUUUUCUGAGGACAACAGGUCAAGAAACAAGAUUUAAACAUAGUGCUGAGACAUGAGUAUUGGAAAAUAUGGAAAUCUAAGACCAAAACUCUUGGACUUAAGCGUGUGAUGAGUUCUUAUUCCAGCAUACCACAACGAUUACUGUGAGAUAGAAAUGAUCCCAUGUGCAGAUGUCCCAGGCAGGACCUCAGCACAUCAGUGCUGUAGGAGGCACUUGGGAAGAAUAGAAACUGCAGGGUGCUUUCUUCUUUUCACACAUCUCCAGAACUUGGCUGAUGUUUUUAGGCUGAAGGGCAAUAUUCCUUGUAUUGUGGCAAUGGCAAGCUAUGCUGUUUUCAAAAGCUGAGCUACUGCCUUAAGUGUUACAGGCUACAAGGGGGAAAUUAUUAUUUUUUUUUUUCAGGGUGAGAAGAGUUAAGCUCUUGAUUUUAUUUUAUUUUUAUUUUUUUAAUGGAGCUCAGUUUGGCUAUCAAGAUAUUUUUUUCUUGCUCUUUCACCUGCAGACAAUUAUGGCUAGAAAUGCAUUUUAUUUCUUUCACUGGUCAAGGGCUAAGCAUCUAUUUGUUGGCACAGUCAGAAAAGUAUCUAUCCAAGUAAUAUAAAACAAUUGUAAAGAUAUUUGCAGCCCACUUUAUUUGCUAUUACAAUAAAACUGAGAGAAUGUGAGGAAUGAGGUCUGACUUGAUCUUUGAGCAGAGCAAGUUUCUAGAAAAUACACUUCAAUUUCUUUCCUCUUCCUAUUUGAAAGGACUGAGGUAGAAUAAGUCUAUUCUACAUCAAAGUUAACCAACAUGUAGAACCUGCAGAAGGAAUUAUCAGAUGUAACAAUAUUAUGAACUCCACUUCAUCUUGGUUGUUAAAAAAAAAAAAAAAAGAUUGGAUCUAACUGAUGGAGGCCAGGAAGAAGUAGUGCAAAAGCAAACCACAGCUCCUCAGAAGAAAAAGAAUACUUGAAAGACAAUGGCACAAAUAAGUUUUUACUACCUUUCUGGUUUUAUACUGUUGUGGGUUGCAGCAGCUUGAAGGCAGAAGAUGUGUGUGAAGUUAGCACAGAGGACAGCACAGGGCUGAGAGCCCAACUCUUCUUGACCAGAGAGAUCAAGGAUCUGGAGACAUUCUUAUGAUUACAACAGUCAGGUCUCAAAUGCUGCAUGCUCCAGAUGACAUGAGUACAAACCUGCCAGAAGGGUUAUGCUUCAGCAACAUCAAAUCCUGCUGGCCAUGUCUACUUGCAUAGGUAUAAAUUAAAUGUGAAUCAUCUAGUUAAUGCAGGCAUUAAUCAUCAUGUCAGUGUCACAGUGAACAGCAUUUGACCUUCCAUUGCACUUCCGGAUGCUCCUACCAUGCUACAACUUCACCAUGGAAAUGCUGAUGGUGCACCAUAAGCUUUUUGGGAACUGCAGUUCAUCACCAACGCUGCUUUAGGAAACAGGAGAAGCCCAGAUACUACUACUGUGAUGUGCUGAUGGAUGAGAGUCUGCAUGACAAGCGAUGAAAUACAAUGAGACACGUACAGAAUUAAGCUGUUGUUAAACCCAUCGUCUGCUCAGACUGGACAGAUCAAACAGAAACUGGAACAGAAAAGUGAGCCCUUGUGCAGUAAAUAUCAAAAAUAGAGGGAAGACAAGAUAAAGUUACAAGACCUUGCCACCUCAACAGUCCGUGAUUAUAUCACCAGCUGAGACAUGUGCUGGAGAGGAAUAAAGUGAGCUGGAGCCAGAUAAUAACAUUUUUCCAUUCACAGGGAGUGUGUGAAUCUCCUUGUGGAACAAAAUGCCUGAAAUCAUUGGAUUCCAGGGUAGCUCAGCGUAUGACAGACUCAAGCGUAUGAUUGCAGCUCUUAAAGUGUAAUGAGACCCAACUGUACAGUGAAACAUUUCCAGACAUACAUAUGUGAUACAGGAAGAAUCAGGUGCAAAAAUUUCUCUGUUGUCUGGUCAUAAGCUGCAAAAAAAUAUUCUCUGUAAAAUGUAAAAAUCCAGUGAAAUCUCUAACACAAAACUUUGUUUAUGUUCACAUGCACCACACUUCUCUUUAGAGUUUAAGUAUCUUCAGAGUGAAAGUUGUGAGUUUUGGGUUGUUCUGGAUUUGUUGGUGGUUUUUUUUGUUUGUUCUUUUGUUUUUGCUUUGUUUUUAAUAAUACAUGCACAGAAGAAGGGACUUGAAUCCUCCUGUUCAGGAAGAAAAAAAAGAAUUUUCAUACUUGUUAAUACAUGAAUGUUUAUAUAAAUCCAGAGUUGUACUGCACUUUCAAUAGCAUUAUGCUCAGCUGAGUGGCACCAUCAUAAGAGAGCCCCACGUUCACCAAUGGCUUGUGGAAGAGAGAGGAUAGCAAGGAGAAGGCACAACAGGUACUAAGAAAUGACAGACAUUUGAAAAAGCAGGUAACAUUGAAAAAGUGUUGUAAGAUAAGCGAUUCAGAGUAACUGACCAUAAUUUCAAUAGCCAGUUUAGCUGCAUGGGACUAAAUCCAUCCACCAUGCGGUAUGCGUAUGAUAGGUAGGUACUGCCCUCUUUUUGUAUCUUGUCUUCUAGGAACACUAUGCUAAAGUAAUAAAAUAGUUCAGCAGUUGGAGGCAAGGCAGAGGUUUUUGGGGAGAAGCCAAUGUCUGUGGAUGGCCAGACUGGAUUAGGACAGUGUUUCGAAUGGCAUAAACACCUUGGUGUCACUGGAGUACAUGAUGUCAAGGACAUUCUACAUUUGAAAUUUUAUAAAAAUCACUGUUUUCUCUCAAAAGUUCUUUUAAGCUUAGUUUCAGCAAAAACUUAUGCUUUCUGGCAGCAAUCCCAAAUGGUUUUAGAAGGACUGCUAUUCACCAUUAUUGUUUGAAAAAACAAUUUUUUUUUAUUAUUCUUAUUAUUGUUUGAAGAAGUUCUAGCUUAAAAUUGUCCAGUCUUUACAACUUUUCACAAGACUAUAAGACAGCUCUCUGGAGAUCAUCAUUUUUUUUCACUAAUCUUGCAGCUGUUAAUCCCUUGGAUUUUCAGCCACAUAGAAUUAGAGACCAGGUAUUCUAUGAAGAAUGAUUAAGUUGUCCAUACAAAACUCAGACAAGGAAUUUCAAUAAAUAAAUAAAAAGACAGAAAGCAAAGAGAAAAAUGAGGAAGAUAGAGAAAAAUGAGGAAGAUAAAAGAUUUUAGUGGAAUACAAUUCUAACAUCUCCUGUUUCUUUAAAAUCAAUACUCCUCAUUUCAGUGGAGAAAAGUUUGUUUGUUUGUUAAACUGGACACAAUCUGAUUACAGGAAAUUUCACUCAUACAGAAAGAUUUAUGGAUUUGAUGUUGUACUGAUUGCACUCUAAGUAGACUAGCAUAGACUUCCGGUGCAUAUUUCUGUGUUCACCCCCAGUGACUCAACAGAAGCAAAAAAAGUCCAUAUACUCUUUCAAAAUACCAGGUAGAUGUGAGAAAUGUUAUAUGUGAAUUAGAAAAGAAGAAAAACUAGUUUUAAAAUCUUGAACAAACCCAGAUUAAGAUUCCAGUAACGCAGUGGCAAAUUGCAAGAAUGUUCUGAUCCAAAAAGAAAUUUCCCAAGAGUAACGUUGAUUUUAUGCAUGGAAGUUAAAGGGUGAAGCAGGUUUGAGAAAGGCAAAACUGGCAGCAGUAUUAAAUCACGGGCUUAAGUUGCUCAUUUGUAUGAAACAGUAGCUCAUAUUGUAGAUGUAUAUAAAAUACAUGUAGUUCACAGAAGCAAAGUGAAAAUGAGUUUGCAAAGUGUUAAUGAGAUCUUCCUAAAGUCAGCCAGUCUUUGGUAGUCUGGAAGAGAGGAUAAAAUGCAAGUAUUAGCUGCUAAGUUCUGAAAUGACUAAUUUUAGCAUAGUCUUUCUGAUCAUGUGAUGCACAUUCUACUAGUGAAAUCAGAAUUGUGUAUAUACUUGCAAAGUAUUUUUAGAAAGCUAUGAAGAAUUAUCUGGAGGCAAAUUGGAGGAGAGAAUUGCCCUAAAUUAUGCAAAUAUUUUAAUAUGAUGUGAUUUAUCUGAGAAAAUUCACUGGAAGAAUAACUACAGUCUCUAAAAAGGCUACAGUAAAUCACUGUAUAAAUUUUCCAUUCUGUAUAUUGUUCAUAGCUAGGUUUGUCAUUUAAUUUCUACAAGCACUGUGAAAAAUCACUUAGCCUGGGAGGUUUUCAAGGCCUCUAUUACUUUUUGCAAACUUAAAAUCCCUAUGUGAUUCCGUACCCCAAACUGCAGUUCUGCUGUUAAAGCUGUGAGUUUUUUCUCUUGUGCUCUUGCUGCUGUCAUAAUUAUUUCAAGGCUAAAGGAAGCAUCCUGAUUAUCAAGUUCAAAUGUAAGUUUUUGAUAGAACAGCAGACUACUGCUCUGUUUCUGGAGACCCUCCUGGCUCUGCUUUCAAAGGGUUUCUGCCUAACUCCCAAGCUGCGCCUGGUCAUUGUUACUGAAUGAAGAAGGAAGUGAUGAUCUGUGCAAAAUGGCCUGUUGCCUGUUGGUGUCCAGUGCUUUUUCCUUUUCCCAGCCCACAUUGUUUUCAGGGUGAAUUUUGUGAGGUAGUGCUUUAUUUCCAAAGCACUUAUGAGAGAGCUCAAGUUCUGUAACCACUUUCUAUGAAAUAAUCAGAAAUUUUAAACUGUUAACUUCUAAGAUAUUCCUAAGAUAUUGAUCCUGGUGAUGACAUAACCUUUUAUUUUUCCAAAUGUAAUAACAGGUAAGUGUUUAACAUUCACUUAAGACUUUAGGAGUCUAAGGUAUUCAACAAUCUGAAAUCUGAUUUGUUGCAGUAUGAAGAACAGAAAACAACUAAGAGAUCAGGAUGGUAGGUAGAGAAAGGAAUAAUAAUUACAGCAAGGGCAGAAAGAAUAGAGAUAAAUGCCUGCAUCAACUCUAAUGUGGUGAAAGACCUGAAUCCAGAAAGGUACAGAAAAGUCCAUUGAAAUGAAUGUUAGUUUUCGUGGUUUUAUACAGAAUAAUGUGAAUAAUCCAUGUAAUGAAAUGGUAUCAUACAAAACAUCACAGUCUGAUCAGGAUUAAAUUAGUACUUUUCUUCCUCUUAUGUCAUUUCAAUCUUUAUUAAAAAUCGGGGAAAAUAUAGUUUUACAGCUAUAGUUUCUUGUUAUUGCCAAUGGAAAGGAUGGCUAUUAUAAAAAAUUAAAAAUAAUUUUAAAAAGUAGAGGAACACUCAUAAAUGUGAUUAACAUUGCAGGAACGGUUAUAAAAUCUCUGUAGUAAAAUCAAC